CGGGGGGAGCAAGCGUUGUUCGGAUUUACUGGGCGUAAAGGGCGCGUAGGCGGCCACCGCAAGUCGGUUGUGAAAUCUCCGGGCUUAACCCGGAAAGGUCAAUCGAUACUGCGGGGCUAGUGUGCAGAGGGGGGCAUCUGGAAUUCUCGGUGUAGCGGUGAAAUGCGUAGAUAUCGAGAGGAACACCUGCGGCGAAGGCGGGUUGCUGGGCUGACACUGACGCUGAAGCGCGAAAGCUAGGGGGAGCGAACGGGAUUAGAUACCCCGGUAGUCCUAGCCUUAAACGGUGAAUGCUUGGUGUCUGGGGUUUUAUAGUCCCCGGGUGCCGUCGCUAACGCUUUAAGCAUUCCGCCUGGGGAGUACGGUCGCAAGACUG
rnacentral:rRNA from 1 species